rnacentral:lncRNA from 1 species
UGAUUCCAAUUGCUUUGAAAUCAAAGUGAUUUAAAAUUGUUCUUUUUAAGUGCCAUGACACCCAGGAUGCAGCUGUAGGAACACCACUGGGUCCCUGGAUGUCAUGGAAGCCCUUAAGUAAAAGUGCCAUCAAAUGAUUUCUCAGAAAUUAUAAAGAAACAAAAGGACCAUAAACAAGAUAAGGUGGCAUGAGGAAACAUUACAAGUACCUUUCAGAGCUGACUGGCAAAGAAACUCCUGAGGUGACGUCUACCCCAAUAUUACUUCUUCGAAGAGCAACCU